rnacentral:rRNA from 1 species
GAGUUUGAUCUUGGCUCAGGACGAACGCUGGCGGCGUGCUUAACACAUGCAAGUCGAACGGUAAGGCUCCAGCUUGCUGGGGUACACGAGUGGCGAACGGGUGAGUAACACGUGGGUGACCUGCCCUGCACUUCGGGGAUAAGCCUGGGAAACUGGGUCUAAUACCGGAUAGGACCGCACCGUGAGGGUGUGGUGGAAAGUUUUUUCGGUGUGGGAUGGGCCCGCGGCCUAUCAGCUUGUUGGUGGGGUAACGGCCUACCAAGGCGGCGACGGGUAGCCGGCCUGAGAGGGUGGACGGCCACAUUGGGACUGAGACACGGCCCAGACUCCUACGGGAGGCAGCAGUGGGGAAUAUUGCACAAUGGGCGGAAGCCUGAUGCAGCGACGCCGCGUGGGGGAUGACGG